rnacentral:rRNA from 1 species
UUCCAGACUCCUACGGGAGGCAGCAGUGGGGGAUAUUGCACAAUGGGGGGAACCCUGAUGCAGCGACGCCGCGUGGAGGAAGAAGUAUCUCGGUAUGUAAACUCCUAUCAGCAGGGAAGAAAGAAGACGGUACCUGACUAAGAAGCCCCGGCUAACUACGUGCCAGCAGCCGCGGUAAUACGUAGGGGGCGAGCGUUAUCCGGAUUUACUGGGUGUAAAGGGAGCGUAGACGGCCAUGCAAGCCUGAUGUGAAAGGUGUGGGCACAACCCGCACACUGCAUUGGGAACUGUAUGGCUAGAGUGUCGGAGGGGCAGGCGGAAUUCCUGGUGUAGCGGUGAAAUGCGUAGAUAUCAGGAGGAACACCGGUGGCGAAGGCGGCCUGCUGGACGACGACUGACGUUGAGGCUCGAGAGCGUGGGGAGCGAACAGGAUUAGAUACCCGAGUA